rnacentral:lncRNA from 1 species
AGCGUAAUGCUAGUUAUCUUGCUAUGGUUUACCGCUGCGUAUUUCGAAUAUUGCUUAUUGUUAUUGAAUUGUGUUGUUAGGUGAACCUCUCGCUUUAGAUUGUUUGGGGUGGGAUAGCGAGGGGUUGUAUUUGUUAGUGGGGGAUUGUAACUCGCUGAGUAAUGCUAGAUUACUCACUCCUUGUUAUAAACAAUAUGCGGAUAACCAUAACCAGGCCCGGUAUGGAACCGGCCCGUAGAGAGAGAGAAGGACGACCCAAUCCUAAGAGAGAGAUAGAGACGACCGC